GAAUAAACAUAAACUGCCAAGGUUGCUCUCUGUUUUUCAUGGCAGGAUAAAUACAAUGUGCUCCAGAAUAAACACAAAUAAAUACACCGAACAAUUAUCAAACCUAUCAAUAAACACCAACACAAAAAAAAUAAAGAAACACAAAAAAUAAACCCACAUGUCCAAAAAUCCAUUGAAUCAAUUACAGAAAAUAAAUUUGCUUCACACCUAUUACUAAAUAUUCAUAUACAUCAAAUU
rnacentral:lncRNA from 1 species